UUUGUAACCCACAAAAAAAUGAUAUUAGGUGCAACCAAACACACCCUAAAAGCAUUAAACCAGACAUGCCCCUUUGCAUGAUAGCAGUGUACCAUAAUUAAGAAAGUAUUGUAUUGCAAUCACCUUUCAAAUAGAAUCCGUGUGUCAUGUGAAAAAAUUCAUUUAUUUGAUAAGCGCUUUUAGAUGCCACUUAACUUGAUUGGUGCUCUACCUCUACCUCAUCUCUUGCCCAAAGAAUUUUGGAUUGCAAACCAAAGGCUAUCAUAACCUGCAAUGCUAUUCGCCAAGGUUCCAAAGUCAUCCAUCUGAAAGAUAUUGUUGAUGCAGCAUUGGUUGAAUCAACUAAAAAUGAGGUCUUUGUAGGCAUAUCUAUUUAAUGGCUACUAGGAAGAUAUUGGGACCAUAAAGUCCUUUUUUAAUGCUAACUUGGCUCUCACAUAUUAGCCUUCCAAGUUUUGAUUUUAUGAUCUGCUGAUGCCAAUCUUCACGUCUCCUAGGUUUCUACCACCAACGAAGAUAGAAAAAUGCUAGAUUUUGGACUAAGGGAAUGCAGUGUUGAACAUUCCAUAGUUGGGACACACUCAAGACUGAAGUAUGGGUCUGAACUGAGGGUAAUGCAUGUCUCAUCCAUGACGCACAUCCUUGACAGAGAUGUGUGAAUGGUAUCAUGGUAUGAACUCUUGCUGUUUUUCUUUCUUAGACAUCUAUUUGGUGACCCCCAUGAAAGGAUGAUGACAUCCACCUAUU